UUUUAGACGUCGGCGCACGACCCGCAGGCUCAGUGCAAUUCAAGAUGCUGAUAAACUUAAGGUCUGGUGCUUGAAAGACAGGAUUAUGGCCCUUGAAGUUUUCAAGGAGAUAGGUGUGUUGGAACAUGAUGACUGAUGCCUGCAGAAUAGAGGCUCUGCUUUCUUGGUUUUCUUUAUGAUGGCAGCAGGGGUGACUUUUGAAAAGGUGCCAGAUAUCUGUAGGAAUAUCUAUGCCCCAUCGAGAAUUUCCAUAUAAUUAAUUCAUUUCCAUAAUUUAAAGUAGUUUUUCUGUCACCCAGCCCCUCAACUUGAAGUCUGACAUACUAACUAGACUAUUCAACAGCUAUCUUAAGACAACUUUGUUAACCAUAUUUUAAUUUACAGAUUAUUUUAAAAUUAUAUUCUUUUGACUAUUCCGAAGAUUAUAUAUUCUUUUGUGGCAUGUUCUUGUAUAUUGCUGUUGAGGAAUAUAUGUGGUAAUAGUGAGCUUCAUUUUACCUUAGGUCUGUCUCGUACUGACCAAAGUAUCUUGCAUACCUGUAGUGUAUAAUGCUACAUAGUAGGCAUGCAUGUAAUGCCACCUUUGUUUUAUUGCACAAAGAAAAAUUUUUCGUAGUGUCUUUAAAACCUUGCACUUUAUGUGCUUGCAUGUUGUUCCUUAGAGCAUUUAUUUAAAUGAUUAGUGACCCUUUUGACAAAAUGUGAUUGGUGGAUCCCAACGGGCUGGGGUUGGUUGCAAAGAAGCAUGAAGGAAUUUGGAAGAAUCUUCUAAAUCUUGGUAAGGUUGGUAAUUGUGUUUGUCAGAUUUUAGGAAAAUUUAUUGAAUGUAAAUUAUAUUUAAAUAAACAUGACUU